CUUGAACUGGUAAAUAGGAAUUUGUUCCUUAUGGAAAAUAGAGACAUUGGAUACCUGAAGAGGCAGAAUGCACAUAUGCACUUCUUCUUAUGACACCAAACCAAUCAAUACAUAAAAAGACAAGAUGUCAAGGAUGUAGUCACCAGUAAAAUCCAGACAGCUGAAAACAUCUGAAAAUCUGUGGGGAUAUAUGCAAAACGAAAAUAAAAAUAGCUGUGCUGGUUUGAAAAUGCACAAGCAAUGUCUGGUUUGUAUUCCUUAAUGGGGGCUUACAUUUGCAUCAAAUGAAUUUCAUUACUUGCUACUGAAGAGAUCUUCCUAAGGGGCAUAAUUUCCCCUUAUUAGCUCAGGUCAAGUCUUCCUGCUAAGUAGAGAUCUCUCCAUGCUUGGAUAGGUAUUGUCUGAUUACUGUGAAUGCCUUGAUUUGUGACUCCAGGCAUGUGCCGUGGUCUCAAGCAUCAAGGCAGGGCUGCAAUGGGCUUCAUUCUCACAGCCAGCUUUGUGUUAGCUGCUAUCACGGCACCUUAAUCCAAGGAGUCCAGGGGUUAGAGGUGAUGUUUGUACACAUGGAGUCCUGUGAGAUUGCAAGUUCCUGGCCUAACUCUCCAGUAGCAUCAAUCAUACAAGUUUGUUUCACCCAGACUUGUGAGCUGCCCUCACUGAUCUGGAGUUGUCCUCUGCACUAUUGGUGACACUUGUGGAAAACUGCUUCAAUAUCAGCUCAGUAUCACAUCACUUCCUACGUUUUCAUAAAUGUUUCCACUUCUGAUUUGGUCAUUAUAGCAGAUGCCAUCUCAUGUCAUUUGUGCAAUGGCCAAAGGUGUACCCUGGGUAUUAGUGGUGGGGAGCUCCAGACCACAGCCUUUGCUUCCCUGCCCAGCCUGGCUCUGUGACAUGGCUGUGCCCACUCUCCCAUGUAAGAUGGGAUAGUAAUGGGUGGAUUAAAAGGCUUUCAGGGUCUAUCAGCUUGGAAUCACCUGCCAUUCAAUUCCCAUGAUUAAUGAGAGAGAAGGGAGUCAGAAACACAGAGCAGAUGCUGUGGAGGUCCCCUGGAAUCACACCAGAUGUACCAGUGGUCUUCUGCUGCAGUCAGCUUGUGUGGGGUCAGCUCUGAGAGGCAGCUGAGGGAAGGGCUCUUGCAUGAGAGGCUGAGGCUGGGUGAAGUAUCCCGAACAACUGUGGGAGAUAUUUUCUGUGUACAACCCUGAGAAUAUUU
rnacentral:lncRNA from 1 species